UACAGAGGGUGCAAGCGUUAAUCGGAAUUACUGGGCGUAAAGCGCACGUAGGCGGAUCGAUCAGUCAGGGGUGAAAUCCCAGGGCUCAACCCUGGAACUGCCUUUGAUACUGUCGAUCUGGAGUAUGGAAGAGGUGAGUGGAAUUCCGAGUGUAGAGGUGAAAUUCGUAGAUAUUCGGAGGAACACCAGUGGCGAAGGCGGCUCACUGGUCCAUUACCGACGCUGAGGUGCGAAAGCGUGGGGAGCAAACAGG
rnacentral:rRNA from 1 species